AUAAAGGAGAAAGGAUGAAAGAAAGAACCACGGCUGGUGCUCAGUUGCCCUCUGAGCAGAAUCCACGACAUAUAUACACACAAAGAGCAUGGACUCCUAAAACAGGUGGCUCAUCACCGACAAGGACAUUGUGCAUUCCACUUGCAUAGUCAAGAUUAUUGUUGGAUUUCCAAAAAGGGGGAGAGGAAGGAGAGAGGAAACAAAGCUACAAUGGCAUAAAAUAAGGAACUGACUGAGCAGUUGCACUUCUGAAAUAAAAAGUUUAUUCCUUCUGUAAACUUCAA